rnacentral:rRNA from 1 species
UACGUAGGGUGCAAGCGUUUGUCCGGAAUUAUUGGGGCGUAAAGAGCGUGUAGGCGGCCCGAUUAGUCCGCUGUGAAAGUCCAGGGCUCAACCCUGGAAUGCCGGUGGAUACUGUCGGGCUAGAGUCCGGAAGGGGCGAGUGGAAUUCCUGGUGUAGCGGUGAAAUGCGCAGAUAUCAGGAGGAACACCAAUGGCGAAGGCAGCUCGCUGGGACGUGACUGACGCUGAGACGCGAAAGCGUGGGGAGCAACGGG